rnacentral:rRNA from 1 species
GAGAGUGGCGAACGGGUGAGUAAUGCGUGACCGACCUGCCCCAUACACCGGAAUAGCUCCUGGAAACGGGUGGUAAUGCCGGAUGCUCCAGUUGAUCGCAUGGUCUUCUGGGAAAGCUUUCGCGGUAUGGGAUGGGGUCGCGUCCUAUCAGCUUGACGGCGGGGUAACGGCCCACCGUGGCUUCGACGGGUAGCCGGCCUGAGAGGGCGACCGGCCACAUUGGGACUGAGAUACGGCCCAGACUCCUACGGGAGGCAGCAUG